UCUGCUCGAACUCAUUUGUGAAACGAAUAUGAACUCGAAUUCGAAUUGAAAUUUUAACUUAUCGAAUUAAAUUCGAACAAAGAAUUAAAAAUAAUCUCAAACUCUGAACUUGACAAGCUAAAACUCCACUCGGCUCGGCUCGAUUACAGCCCUACAGUGGGAAUGGGAUUCGUUGCGGCGUUUGUUCUUGCUGGGCAUCGAUUAUCUGGUCUUUUGAGGACUGGAUUUAGCUCUUGCUCAAUGGCUCCUAGAGAUUCGUUUCUUCUACACUGCAAUGGUGUGAUGUUUUCUUAGGGCGAAGAGAUGUAUUGGCCGGUUGAUGGGGGCGCUGCAGAAGAGGUUUUUGGGUUAUGUUUCUUGCUCUCGAUUUUAGAUAUCUUCGUUCUGAGGUCUGGAGGAAAAAGGUCGUCUCAGAGUCUCUGUUUCUUGCCUACCGUCGUGUGUCGUUUGGAUCAUCUGGAUCGUUUCUCCCUCUCGUGCGUUGUGGGUCUAGAAGAAGAAAUGCCUGUCGGGGGGUCUCCGUUUGUUGCUUUCCGUUGUGUUCUUGCCUUGUUGUUGAUCCUUUUUUGCUGUGGCUUGCCGUGGUGUAAAAGAAAAAGUUCCUUUCGGGGUCUCUAUUCCUUGCUCCCUUGUGUAUUCUUGGCUUCUUGUUCCAAGUUUCUCGUUGUGAUCUACCGUGGUUGUGAUGUCUAGAAGAAAAAAUUCCUCUCCGGGUCUCUAUUCCUUGCCUCCCGUCGUGCAUUCCUGGCUUCUUGUUGCAAGUUUCUGGUUGUGAUAUGCUUUGGGUCUAGAAGAAAAAGUGCAUCUCGGAGUGUUGUUUCGUGGCUCUUGUCAUUUGUGUCUGGGUAUUCACGAUCAUUUCUGCCUGUCGUCGGUUGUGGGUAUGGUCUCUUGGCUGGAUUUUUUCUAGGACCAUUUGCUCUAUUUGCAAGACAUGGCAGCUCAGACUUUACAAAAAGAAUGGAUUUUCAAGUGACUGCAGACGUAGACUGGUGGAACAACAAAAAACUCAACAUUCCUUUCCAUCCAUAUAGUAGAUGAAACAACAUGACUCUGGAAUGCAUGCAUAAAUCUGCAGAACCAUAUUUCUUAAUUACAAAAGACACCUAUAUAUUUGGUGAGAGGAGUGAGAAAUGAAUAUUGUAGCGUACGUUUGGCUAAGUUAUUGUACACCCAAAUAUUUGAUAAGUUACUGUACAUAAUGACCAAGUCUAUAUAGACAUGUUUAAUUUGAUGUGGGGUA